rnacentral:tRNA from 1 species
ACACAUGUUAACAUAGUUUAACACAAAACAUUAGAGCGUGAAUCUAAAGAUAGAGGUUAAAUCCUUCUU